GCCAGCGUGGCACAGUGGUUUGAGCAUUGGACUCCGAUUCUGGAGACCAAGGUUUGAUUCCCUGCUUGGCC